UGGUCUUUCUAGAUCUUGCACAAGGUCUU
rnacentral:piRNA from 1 species